UACGGAGGGUGCGAGCGUUGUCCGGAAUCACUGGGCGUAAAGGGCGCGUAGGCGGCGCGGGAAGUCCGUGGUGAAAGCCCGAGGCUCAACUUCGGGUCGGCCAUGGAUACUCCUGGGCUUGAGCACUGUAGAGGCAGGUGGAAUUCCGGGUGUAGCGGUGGAAUGCGUAGAGAUCCGGAAGAACACCGGUGGCGAAGGCGGCCUGAGCUGGGCCAGUGACCGAAAGGUCUUAAAAGCUGACGCUGAGGCGCGACAGCGUGGGGAGCAAACAGG
rnacentral:rRNA from 1 species